rnacentral:lncRNA from 1 species
CUCCCAUUCAUACCCUCUAGCAGCCUGCAUUUGGUUCAGAUAUAACUAAUUAAGGUUCGAAUAUGGUAGCACGCUACUCGCUUCGUUUAUUUCAUUUAUUUAGAAAAUAAACUUAGCUGGAAAUGUGAAUCAACUAGAAUUCGAACCUGAGUCUCGGAUACCAACCACCAAGCCCGGCCUUUGCCACUUGCUCUAGGGACGGCCGGUUAUGAGCAAGACAUGUUUGAAUCAGGAAUAGUAUAAGUUCAGAUAUAAAUAGUAACUAGACCAAUUUUGUGUUUAGAAGAAAAUUGAGUUAUUUCUGAAAAUAAGGUAAAUAGUGUUUGUAUGAUUAGAUUUGAACAAAAAGAAUAAUAAUUAUAAUUUUAAAUUAAAAAUAUUUUAUCUAAUUAAUUAAUAUCAAAAUAUUAAUUAAAAAUAAUUUAAUAAAUUUAUUAGCUAUGAAUAUUGUAUAAGAUGAUAAAAAUAUAUUAAUUAAUUAAUUAAUUAUAAGUAAUAAAUAAAUAAAUUAUUUUAUUAUUUAAGCAAUGGAUAAUGAUUAAUUUAAUGCCAUAAUUAAAAUUAAAUUUCGACUUUAAUUAACGUUGUUUCCACUUAGAAAAAAAAAGCUUGUUUCAAAAAAAUGGGUGGAAUAACAGUUUCAGUCUUAUACAGGAUUAUACCAACUUAUUUUAGAGAUCCGAGAACUAGUGUUUUCAAGUACGAAAAUUUGUUUGGGAACAAAGAGGGAACAAGAGCUUAUAAUUUUCCAUUUUGUUCUUGAAUCAAACACUACCUUAGUUUUAAUAAAAAACUACCUUUUGCUGGGAUUGAAAGGGGCUUAUUGAGGCGCAACUCAACGCAAACACAAACAAGUUCAAGCUCCAACUUAGCACACAACUAAUUUGUAGUACAGAGGCAUCCGUACAAUCGAUAGUAUUUUAAUAGCUAAUUCUAUAUAUAUAUAUAUAUAUAUAUGCUAAGGUUGCUAUAUUCUUAUGAGUAUAGAUCUUUUUAUACUUAUAAAUUUUUGGCCGUUGAAUAAAAUGAUGUGCGGUUAGAAUGAUAGUGGUCCAUGGUUAAGAUGACAGUAGUCUUUUAGAAUUGAGUCGGUGGUUGAUUGAAUAGUAUGAUCUAACAGGUAGAAAUAGUCGAAUGGAUAAAUCUAAUGGCUGAAAACCUUUGGAAGGAACCUGUUAAACAUGAUUUAAAAUAUUUAAAACUCAUAGAAAUCAAAAUUUUAUAAUUUUUUUUAUAAUUUUUUGACGCCAUUUAUCUUAUGAUCAAAAAAUUUUAAAUUUGAUAAUUUUUAACGAUCACUAUAAGAUACUUGCUAAUCAAAU